GAGUGAGGAGAUUUUUAUUGUAUAGAAAGGAAGAGAGAUAAUGAGAGACUAUAAAUAAAUAUAUUAUAGAAGACUCAUUCUCAAAAUUUCUGUAGAGGUAAGCCUUAUGUUAAAUCACGUAAAUCUAGGUGUUAUUAUUUUUUAAUUUUUUUUACAUUUAUUUACUACUCACCGUUAUGUAUUUACACACCGACGCCGUAUAACCGUAUCGGACCACCGUCAGAGACUUCACACUACACUGAUUGAGGCCCGAUCAACUUCAACGGGCUGGGAAUGGAUCUUUCUAUCCGUCCAGCCUGUUGUGCCGUUUUAAGGUUUUAACAGAAGGAGAUGGAAAUUUGUAUUUGCAUGGCUGUUUUGUGACUUCAACUGGUAAAAGGGAUUUUUUACAAGUGAUAUUUUGAAAAAAAAAUGUCGAAGAUGUAACUUGAGGAACUUGAGCGAGAGGAACUUGAGGUUGUGCUUCAGGGCGCGGACUUUCUUGAAAUCGAUCAUCCAGUCGGCCCUUUCGGUACUAAGGUCAGUGUCGUUUGAACUUAAAAAUCUUUACUUUGGUGUUUAUAAAUUAUAAUGAACCUUUAAAUACUUAAUUGUAGAUUUUUAAUCGGCUCUUGAUGUACUUUUCCAGUGUCGGAUCAAUGCUUCUUAUGUCACUUUGACCGGUUUGGAAUGAGAUUUUUUCUUUUUGGUGUUGAUAAUUGAGACAUUGGGAACAACUUUGAUUAAUUGGGAAAUGAGACUACAUCACCUAUAACUUAUUCAUGUAGCUUUUACGAGUUUAUAAUCGAUCAUUAAUGGUUGCAUAGAGGCUUUUGUGUAAUGUUCGUUUGUUGAAGUAUGCUGCUACAGUUUUACCGAUAAAAAAAAAUGGUAUGUUCCUGCAGUUUUUCUGGAUUCAUUUUUCAUUACCUUUUGCAAAUAUUAUUCUCUCUCUG